AUUCCGCGACCGGAUCUUAAAAGCCAAAGUAGUGUUUCCUUGUUAGAAGAUACAAAGCCAAAGCCUCAUACGGACUUUAGCUACCCCAUCAAAGCCUUCAGAAGCAAGAAGAAGCUUGGUUAGUGUUUUGGAGUCAAAUAAUACU
rnacentral:sRNA from 1 species